UCUCUGCGGUGAUGAUUUUAUGAAAAUAUUCACAUGUCAGACUUCAGAGAUUCUUGACGAAUCAGUGAGAAUGAAUUCAUAACGAUCUGAGCAUAGA